UAGGGUGAAAUUACCUGAGUUUGAAAUCUGCUAAUUUUCCAAUCAGGCCCAAAGAUCAUAAUCUCCUGCCCCAGACCACCUGGGGAAAAUGGCCCUUACUGAAAUGGGGGAUGUCUGCCAAAGCUCCCUUGUGAGAUUCUACCUUGUUUGGCUGCCUGCAGGGGGCCCAAGGCAGCUCUGAGCCCCCAGUGCUGGCCCAGCAGACAGCAUCCCUUGGGAGGCCACAGGGAGGUGUGUGUUUUGUCCAGAUCCUGAACAGCCAAAGGGGCUUGUCACACUGCAAGGCAGCAACCAGCAGCAGCCAGGUGCCACAAGGAACCAGCUCUUGGGUGAGCCUCACUCCUGCCUGUGCUACAACUUCCUCAGCAAAGCUGCAUUCAUGAAUCCAUUGCAAAGGAAUGAAUUAAAAUUGUUCUUGUAA